rnacentral:rRNA from 1 species
UGGGGAAUUUUGCACAAUGGGGGAAACCCUGAUGCAGCGACGCCGCGUGAUUUAGAAGGCCUUCGGGUUGUAAAAAUCUUUUCUAUGGGAAGAAAAUGACAGUACCAUAGGAAUAAGGACCGGCUAAUUACGUGCCAGCAGCCGCGGUAAUACGUAAGGUCCGAGCGUUGUCCGGAAUCUUUGGGCGUAAAGGGUACGUAGGCGGGUAAGCAAGUUAGAAGUGAAAUCCUAUAGCUCAACUAUAGUAAGCUUUUAAAACUGCUCAUCUUGAGGUAUGGAAGGGAAAGUGGAAUUCCUAGUGUAGCGGUGAAAUGCGCAGAUAUUAGGAGGAAUACCGGUGGCGAAGGCGACUUUCUGGCCAUAACCUGACGCUGAGGUACGAAAGCGUGGGUAGCAAACAGG